rnacentral:lncRNA from 10 species
UAUUUAUCUCAAUAUUCCCAGAGCCUGGGCUGGGCACAGUGGCUCAUGCCUGUAACCCUAGCACUUUGGGUGGCCAAGGCGGGCAGAUCACUUGAGGUCAGGAGUUCGAGACCAGCCUGGCCAACGUGGUGAAACCCCGUCUCUACUAAAACACAAAAUUUACAGGGUGUGGUGGCAGGUGCCUAUGGUCUCAGCUACUCAGGAGGUUGAGGCAGGAGGAUCACUUGAGCCUGGGAGGCGGAGGUUGCAGUGAGCAGAGAUCAUGCCACUGCACUUGAGCCUG